GCUGGGCGUGGUGGCGGGAGCCCGUAAUCCCAGCUACUCGGGAGGCUGAGGCAGGAGAAUCGCUUGAACCCGGGAGGCGGAGGUUGUAGUGAGCCAAGAUCGCGCCACUGCACUCCAGCCUGGGUGACAAGAGCGAAACUCCUUUCUUUAUAUGUAAAAAGGAGUUAACUGUGUUGCCCAGGCUGGAGUGCAGUGGUGUGAUCUUGGCUCACAGAAAACCUCCACCUCCCAGGUUCAAGCAAUUCUCUUGCCUCAG
rnacentral:SRP_RNA from 1 species